ensembl:snoRNA small nucleolar RNA SNORA19
AGGCACAAUUCAUUGUCCUGCUCUGCCUCAUUGUAGGAGCAGCGAUAUUUCUUUUGUGCUAUAAAAAUGCUGGAGGUAAAUUAGCAGAGCGGCUUCUGUGUGCCACCUCUGCCAGUCCCCUUCACACAGUC